AUACUUACCUGGCAGAUCAUCAACAAUGAUCAAGAAGGUUGUUGAUGCGGGAGGAGACUUGUGCAUUGCACUUAGCACUUGUUGAACCCUGGGAUCAUUUCAAUUUGAAAUGCAUCCUCUGCAUAAUUUUUGCGUUAGGGAGGCGUACGCGCCACCCUUA
rfam:Trichinella pseudospiralis scaffold2s, whole genome shotgun sequence.